rnacentral:rRNA from 1 species
AUUGAACGCUGGCGGCAUGCUUUACACAUGCAAGUCGAGCGGCAGCGCGGGGGGCAACCCUGGCGGCGAGCGGCGAACGGGUGAGGAAUACAUCGGAACGUACCCCGGAGUGGGGGGAUAACGCCGCGAAAGCGGCGCUAAUACCGCAUAUGCUCUGAGGAGGAAAGUGGGGGACCUGCAAGGGCCUCACGCUCUGGGAGCGGCCGAUGUCCGAUUAGCUAGUUGGUGGGGUAAAGGCCCACCAAGGCGACGAUCGGUAGCUGGUCUGAGAGGAUGAUCAGCCACACUGGGACUGAGACACGGCCCAGACUCCUACGGGAGGCAGCAGUGGGGAAUUUUGGACAAUGGGGGCAACCCUGAUCCAGCCAUGCCGCGUGCGGGAAGAAGGCC